rnacentral:rRNA from 1 species
CACGUAGGGUGCGAGCGUUGUCCGGAAUUAUUGGGCGUAAAGAGCUCGUAGGCGGUGUGUCGCGUCGGCCGUGAAAACCUGCAGCUCAACUGUGGGCUUGCGGUCGAUACGGGCAUCACUGGAGUUCGGCAGGGGAGACUGGAAUUCCUGGUGUAGCGGUGAAAUGUGCAGAUAUCAGGAGGAACACCGGUGGCGAAGGCGGGUCUCUGGGCCGAUACUGACGCUGAGGAGCGAAAGCGUGGGGGAGCAAACAGG